rnacentral:snRNA from 1 species
GUGCUCACUUCGUCAUAUACUAAAAUUAGAACAAUACAGAGAAGAUUAGCAUGGCCCCUGUGCAAGGAUGACGUGCAAAUUCAUGAAGCAUUCCAUAUUUUU